AUAAACGCUGGCGGCGUGCAUGAGACAUGCAAGUCGAACGGACUUCUCGGGGCUUGCUCUGAGAAGUUAGUGGCGGACGGCUGAGUAACGCGUAGGUGACCUACCCCGAAGUGGGGAAUAACUGCCCGAAAGGGUGGCUAAUACCGCAUGCGAUCGGUCAUUCAGUUGACCGAUCAAAGCAGCAAUGCGCUUUGGGAGGGGCCUGCGUCCGAUUAGCUCGUUGGUGUGGUAACGGCUCACCAAGGCGACGAUCGGUAGGUGGUCUGAGAGGACGAUCACCCAGACUGGGACUGAGACACGGCCCAGACUCCUACGGGAGGCAGCAGUCGGGAAUUUUGCUCAAUGGGCGCAAGCCUGAAGCAGCAACGCCGCGUGAGGGAUGAAGGCCUUCGGGUUGUAAACCUCUUUUGUCAGGGACGAUAAUGACGGUACCUGGCGAGUAAGCCACGGCUAACUACGU
rnacentral:rRNA from 1 species